AACGGAGGCACCCGAGACCUUGCUCUCUGGGUGGCGAGUGGCGGACGGGUGAGGAAUACAUCGGAAUCUACUUUUUCAUGGGGGAUAACGUAGGGAAACUUACGCUAAUACCGCAUACGACCUACGGGUGAAAGCAGGGGAUCUUCGGACCUUGCGCGAUUGAAUGAGCCGAUGGCGGAUUAGCUAGUUGGCGGGGUAAAGGCCCACCAAGGCGACGAUCCGUAGCUGGUCUGACAGGAUGAUCAGCCGCACUGGAACUGAGACACUGACCAAACUCCUACAGGAGGCAGCAAGGGGGAAUAUUGGACAAUGGGCGCAAGCCUGAUCCACCCAUACCGCGUGGGUGAAGAAGGCCUUCGGGUUGUAAAGCCCUUUUGUUGGGAAAGAAAUCCAGAUGGAUAAUACCCGGAUGGGAUGACGGCACCCAAAGAAUAAGCACCGGCUAACUUCGUGCCUACAGCCGCGGUAAUACGAAAGGUGCAAGGGUUACUCGGAAUUACUGGGCGUAAGGCGUGCGUAGGUGGUCGUGUAAGUCCGUUGUGAAAGCCCUGGGCUCAACCUGUCAACUGCAGAGGAUACUGGGCGACUAGGAUGUGUUAGAGGGUAGCAGAAUUCCUGGUGUCCACAGUGAAAUGCGUAA
rnacentral:rRNA from 1 species